CAUCAGAGCAAGCCCCUCUUGUCUGCCCCGUGAAAAUAGAAGGAAAAAAAUAAGCAGAAGGGUAAAGGGCAGAAAAAUAAAUACACUAUCCAUUAAAGCAUUUUGAAGAAUACUUCCCAGAUUUGGAACUGUAAAAACAAAUUUUGAAGCACAAUAUGCAAUGGGAGAAGAAAAUAAGCAGUUGCAUCGAAAUAUCAAGC
rnacentral:lncRNA from 1 species